GUCUCAAGACUAAGCCAUGCAUGUCUAAGUAUAAGCGACGUUAUACGGUGAAACUGCGAAUGGCUCAUUAAAUCAGUUAUAGUUUAUUUGAUGGUCUCUCACCACUUGGAUAACCGUGGUAAUUCUAGAGCUAAUACAUGCGUGGAGUCCCGACUUUUGUGGAAGGGAUGUAUUUAUUAGAUUCAAAACCAAUGCGGGGCCUCGGUCCCGGUGCUUUGGUGAUUCAUAGUAACUGUUCGGAGCGCAGGGCCCUCGCGCCGGCGCCGGAUCAUUCAAGUUUCUGCCCUAUCAACUGUCGAUGGUAAGGUAUUGGCUUACCAUGGUUGCAACGGGUGACGGAGAAUUAGGGUUCGAUUCCGGAGAGGGAGCCUGAGAAACGGCCACCACAUCCAAGGAAGGCAGCAGGCGCGCAAAUUACCCAAUCCCGACACGGGGAGGUAGUGACAAUAAAUAACAAUACAGGGCUUUCGUAAGUCUUGUAAUUGGAAUGAGAACAAUUUAAAUCCCUUAACGAGGAACAAUUGGAGGGCAAGUCUGGUGCCAGCAGCCGCGGUAAUUCCA
rnacentral:rRNA from 1 species